rnacentral:rRNA from 1 species
UACGGAGGGGGCUAGCGUUGUUCGGAAUUACUGGGCGUAAAGCGCACGUAGGCGGCUUUGUAAGUUAGAGGUGAAAGCCCGGGGCUCAACCCCGGAAUUGCCUUUAAGACUGCAUCGCUUGAACGUCGGAGAGGUGAGUGGAAUUCCGAGUGUAGAGGUGAAAUUCGUAGAUAUUCGCAAGAACACCAGUGGCGAAGGCGGCUCACUGGCCCGGUACUGACGCUGAGGUGCGAAAGCGUGGGGAGCAAACAGG